GAUCCUGGCUCAGGAUGAACGCUAGCGACAGGCUUAACACAUGCAAGUCGAGGGGGCAGCACAGGUAGCAAUACCGGGUGGCGACCGGCGCACGGGUGAGUAACGCGUAUGCAACUUGCCUAUCAGAGGGGGGAUAACCCGGCGAAAGUCGGACUAAUACCGCAUGAAGCAGGGGUCCCGCAUGGGGAUAUUUGCUAAAGAUUCAUCGCUGAUAGAUAGGCAUGCGUUCCAUUAGG
rnacentral:rRNA from 1 species